rnacentral:lncRNA from 1 species
AAGAAGUACUUCUGGAGACAUGACAGUGGUCUUCUCGCCAAGAGUAGCAAAAGUCACUGAAAGGGUAUGAUCAAAAUCAGAGUGUAAGUACAGAAAUACAAAUUCAGUUAUAAUGCACCAUAUUAAGAAAAUCUAGCUCAAUUUCCAAUAAGAACGAAAAAAAUCCCCAAGUCAUCUGCAGUCUACAACAAAACAAGAUAAGUUUUAAACAGGUGAAAUUUAAGUCCAAUAGAGCAAAAGAGUUCUCAUUGGAGGUUCAUAGCAAUCAUAUUAUGUUAUCUUUAUCUAUAAAUCGAAAUUCUACAAGUUCUCAUUAUGAUAAACAACUCUGACUGUCUGCCAUAUACUGAAGCGAAUCAAUACCUUAUAUGUAAAGGCAGCAAAGGCGAUCUUUGAAAUUGGAAAGCUCACUAAGUUAACUCUUAAUUAAUUAAGAGUUAACUCAGUCAAUUGGAAAAAUAAAAGCAGCAAAAACGAUCCUUUUAAUUGAAAAACUCAAUUAACUCGGACAAUUAGAAAACUGUCGACUCCAUCCUUCAAUCGACAAAACUCUUUAGAUUUCCCCUCUUCUUCCUCCUCUUCCUCCGUCUUCUCAAUUAACCCAUUCUUUUUUUCUCUGUCUUGAGCAGGCUAACAAGUAUUAUUUUUUCUAAUUUCAUCUCCUUCUUCUUAAUUAUAUUCAAUUGCUCUUCCUGUCGAUCGCGUCUUCCUCUUCCCAAUUGUUCACGAAAAUUCUCUUUGAGAAGUGACAAAUAGAUAUCGUCUAUGAAAGAAACAAAUUGAGGAUAUGUUUUCAGUAUGUUUUGUUACUUUUAAUUGGUUCCUUUGCUUCUCACCUCUUAUCUAAUGGAUUGACUGAUUUUGCAGAUUUUUUAUGAGUUAUUUGAUGAAUGUUUCAAUGGACGAUGGAUAGCCUCUAAGAAGGAUAGUCUUUGGACAUGAGGAAUCGACUAAGUUCGAUAUGAUCUUGGUUGAUAAUGAAGGAACCCAAGAAAUCGACCCAUAUCGAUAUGGAUGUACGAUGAGUUUUCUUGAUUUGUUAAUUCACUUUCCUUUUAUAAUGAGUUUUUUAUAUUGAAAAUGGUUUAUUUUUGUGCACAUAAUUUGCUAAGGUACUUCACACUACUUUUUGUUAAUUUAGAGUUAUCUGGCAUGGUGUAUAUAAACUGUUUGGUGAAAUCCUCCAAUGAAAAGAUAUACUAUUGAGAUGCAUGUCGUUGUCUGACUGAUGUGGUGAUUGACGCUCCAAACUUACGAACUUUUCAAUAUUUUGGAAUGCUUCUCUCAUAUUUUGCACACACUUCACCUGUAUGUAACUAGACAUACUUGGAGGCUAUUAUUUCUCCUUUUUUAAGUGGAGCAAAUUUCUAUCUAAUUUUAGUUUGGUUCAAGAGGUUGAUUUUGAGAAUGACAGUGCAUUUUGAGGUAUGUGUAUCAACAAACUUUUUUAUUUAUUAUCAUUGUUUUUUUUUGUUUUUGUCAUUGAAAUUGAUGUUUCUUUUUUUUUCAAACAUUAACAAAUGUAGGGUAUAGAUGAUUGUUUUGAGGGAGAAGGGAUAUUAGGAGAAAUAUCAGUGCCUGGAGAAUAGGUAUUUAAAUGCAACAUUUUAAUUGGGAGUAUAUAAUAUUUGCUUCUGACCCAAUUUUUAUACUUCUUGCCAUAAUUUAAUUAUGUUAGAGACAACUUUAGUAUAGUUUCUGUUAGUUUAACAGUAGAUUAACUUUAGUAUAACUACUACUAUUAGUUGAACAAUAGAUUAAAUUUACAUGCCUGCCCAAGUGUUCAUUGAUAUUUUGUGAAUUGUUAGACUAUUAGUGAGUUCAUGCUAUUUCGUUUCCGAAGACCGGGUUUAAAGUUUCAUUAUACUACUAAUUGAUUCAUCCUCUUCUCUUUUUUUUGUACUUUUUCUGUUGAUGAUUUCUAAGUAAAUCCUAAUUAACGCUAUUUUUUGUUUUGUCUGGCUUUGAAUGCUAAGGGCAGUUCGAACAAGCUAAUAAGAGAACUCGAGG